UUAAAAUCAAUGGAGGCACAACUCAGUGAAGCCCUUUAGUCCAGUGGGAACAAGUACAAAAACAACUCAGACUCAACGGAAGGCAUAUAGGCUGCAGCUGUAACCAAGAAGCUUGAAGAAGAACUCCUGAAAUGAGAUGCCCUUGUUGAGUAUCCCAAUGCCUGUUUUUGAGCGGAACACCUAAAAUGGAGUAUGUGAGAGAGGAAGGAGAGGGAAGGGGGCGUUUAUGAGGCUGUGAGAGGGGCAAUCUGGUAAACUAUCCAAGUGGAGGCGAUUUUGAGACCCUCCAUUUGUGGAUGCUAUUAGUGUAUAGACCGCAGUAAGACGUUUCUUGUUGCAGCUGACAUGGAACCGUCAAAGAUGGAUAUCUAUAAGGCUCGAGCUGAAGUGGCUUCUACCAAAGGAACUGAUGUAAAUAUGCAGGAUGCUCCUGUGACUCAGAAUGGUACUCAAGAGAGAGGAGAUUAUCCUGCUUAGAUGGAAGCAGAUGCCAAGGGCACUCAACUUCUAGCCAUAGAUGUUGCUGCAGUACAAGAUUUCUAAGCUCUUAGAAGAACUUUGAACCGAUUUGGCAUUAGCAAUUG
rnacentral:lncRNA from 1 species